rnacentral:rRNA from 1 species
CCUACGGGAGGCAGCAGUAAGGAAUAUUGGUCAAUGGACGCAAGUCUGAACCAGCCAUGCCGCGUGCAGGAUGAAGGCCCUCUGGGUUGUAAACUGCUUUUAUAGGGGACGAAAAAGGGACUUUCUAGUUCAACUGACGGUACCCUAGGAAUAAGCACCGGCUAACUCCGUGCCAGCAGCCGCGGUAAUACGGAGGGUGCAAGCGUUAUCCGGAUUUACUGGGUUUAAAGGGUGCGUAGGUGGGUCGGUAAGUCAGCGGUGAAAUCUUCAAGCUUAACUUGGAAACUGCCAUUGAUACUAUCGAUCUUGAAUCAUCUGGAGGUAAGCGGAAUAUGUCAUGUAGCGGUGAAAUGCUUAGAUAUGACAUAGAACACCAAUUGCGAAGGCAGCUUACUACGGAUGUAUUGACACUGAGGCACGAAAGCGUGGGGAUCAAACAGGAUUAGAUACCCUGGUAGUCCACGCCCUAAACGAUGGAUACUCGACAUACGUGAUAUACUAUNUGUGUNUGNGNGAAGACAUUAAGUAUCCCACCCGUCGGAAGGUAACGAGUCGCGAAGAGUUAGUAACGUACGAAAGGAAAGUUAGUACGGACGUGAGACGUUAGCCGACGGACGACCGACCGAGGGGAGGGUUAGGGAG